UUGUCCACCUGGAAAGCCUUGGCGAGAACAUCGUCGGAGAUGGGUGGCUUAGACCCGAACACAGCGUCGGCGAUGGUGAUGGUGCCAGGGUUUUGGCUACUGAGAGCACCGAUGGCGACGGUGUUGGUGUGCCCAGGGUUGAACUGGAAGUGGAUGAGGCCUUGAGGGAACACAAACACAUCACCCUUCUUCAGCAUCUUGGUGAAGAGACGGUUGCCGUCCUCACCGUUGGAGGUGACGAAGCCGACGAAGAGCUGUCCUUCUAUGACGGUGACGAUCUCGGUGGCAGGAGGGUGAGUGUGGGGCGGGUUGAGGCCUUUGGGGACGUAGUCGAUGCGAACCAUGGAGAUACCGAGGGUAUUCAGUCCUGGAAUCUGGUUAACGUUGGCUGGCGUGACAUUGAACCCCAACUUGUUUCCUGUCUCGCCGGGCAUGUCGAGGCCAGACAGAGAGAAGUCGUCGGCUUUCACAACCUUGGAGUCCUUGCAGACGAAUCCAUUCACCUGCACUUGCAGCAGUAAGAAUAAAACUCGAUCAGUAAACGUGCAUCAGGAUAGCCAUGGGAACAUAAAAAGGUCCAAAUGGCAAAUAUUAUCAUCAUCGAAUAAGGUUGAUGAAGCAUGGUACCUUUUGUUGGGCUCAGCCCAAUAGGUGGGCUUGGACGGUUGAUUUGGGCAUUCAGUCCAAAUCUGAUUUAUUAAAAAAAUAAAAAUAUAUAAUUUUGAGGUUUUUGUUAGAAAAUCAAUCAGUUAAACUUCAUCGAUUUUAGUCUAAAUUUUAUAUGAAAAAUCCAUAAGUUUAAUGAUGUCGAUAUACAGUUUAUCCUCUUUGAGGUACUUUUCUGCUAUAUUUACUUGGUGAGACUUAAAAUUUUUCUUUCAUGAAAGACAUUUGAUGAUAUGUUAUUAUUGAACCAAGAUAUGUGUUUUUGAUAUUAUUAUGAUCCUCUAGAAAAGAUUUAUUAUAAACCUAUUAUCAUUAUUUAUCGGUGACGAUGGAAGUUUGAAGUAGACUUCGGUCUUACGAUUUUUUCUGGAUUGAAUUUUUCACGUAAAAUACUCGAUGUCUUAUUUUGUAAUUGAUUUAUUAUUCUACUGUUUAUGUUGCUCUAAUUAAAAUUUACUUUCAAUAAUAAAUUGAUAUUUUGAUGAAUAAUCUAUUUUGAUAAAAAAAAUUCACUAUAAUAAUUUUUCUCAACGGCUUUGGAGUUCAUAUCAGCGACGCAGAAGUCUUGAAGAGGACUAGGAUCAGAAGCCAAUGCAUGAGAGGCAGCCAAGGCAAGGAGAGCAAUGAGAAGGAUUUUGGCAGCCAUCCGUAGGCUUUAGGGUGGAUGAAGUUGCUUGGUGCUGUGAUACAAAUGGUUGAAGGAGAAUGAUACACAUGGAGAAGCAGUAGGCUCCGAGACGUUCUUGAUCAUUAGGUGAAAGAGUUGAAAUGUAUAACGUGUUGGGUGCCAUCUGCUUGCUGGGCAUGAAGCUUUUUGACAGAGUCGCAGUGAUUGCUUGCCUUCCUUGCUUAACACAAAAAGACUCGCUAUCCGACUCAUCAGAAUGGCCAACCAAAUCCACACCCAGUUCUCCAAGAUUGCAUAGUGUCCACUUGAUCUCGUCAACGUUAAUAUAUGUAUGUGUGUGUCGUCAGCAAUGACCGAGCUCUUCAUUAGGGCACGCUGAAGAAGUAAAUGAACGCAAGUGGUGGAUCCAUUGAAUGAACAAAAUAGUCCAAGCUAGAUUUCUAGGAUGACAUAACGCUACCAAAGUCGUGGGAAGUUUCGCAAAGAUGUCGGAGAUGGGUAUGAAAAGAACAUACUCGUAAUGGGACUAUUUGUAUAUCAGAUUAUGAACAGUUGAUCUCUGAAAUCUCAUCCCUCGUUAUACAACCUUGUUUGUCCUACAACUCGAGGUAAUAACUUUCCUAAGUUAUUUCGGGAUUUUUUUGGUAUUAUGAUUGUUGCGUAAAUUAACUUAUAAUUGAUGUAUUUUAGUAAAUAAAUCCACAUGAAUAUAUAAAGUUUACGAAGCUCAAAGAGGAUAGAGAUAACGUGGAUAAAAGUAUGCAUAUAAUAUGGAAUGUUGCACUCUAUGCUAUGAUCUUCCGGAGGGAGAUAGUUAAUUCGUAAAGCCUAUCAACUAUGCGAUAAUACGCUAAUAAAGAUACUCACGAAUUCUGAAACAUGACGCACUUCAUACGUGCUUUUCAUAACAUAGAAAGGCUGCUUAAUUCCAUUACAAUAGCAAAUGCAAACAGGUAGUCCACUGUUUGCUUAUUGACACCAAAACACAGGAGCUAAGAGUGCAGCUUAUUCAAUUCAUCCGACUAGUUUUUCUUCGCGAACUGAGCCUGAAGCCAGUCGAUGGUCUUCUUGUCCACUUGGAAAGCCUUGGCGAGGAUUUCAUCCGAGAUGGGGGGAUUCGACCCGAACACAGCAUCGGCGAUGGUGAUGGUGCCAGGGUUUUGGCUGCUGAGAGCACCGAUGGCGAAGGUGUUGGUGUGCCCAGGGUUGAACUGGAAGUGGAUGAGGCCUUGGGGGAACACAAACACAUCACCCUUCUUCAGCAUCUUGGUGAAGAGACGGUUGCCGUCGUCGCUGUUGGAUGUGACGAAGCCGACCAAGAGCUGUCCCUCUAUGACGGUGAGGAUCUCGGUGGCACGGGGGUGAGUGUGGGGCGGGUUGAGGCCAUUGGGGAUGUAGUCGAUGCGAACCAUGGAGAUGCCGAGGGUGUUGAGCCCUGGAAUCUGGAUCACGUUGGCAGGCGUGACAUUGAACCCGAAAUUGUUCUUUCCUGUAUCGCCGGGCAUGUCGAGGCCAGAAAGAGAGAAGUCGUCGGCUUUCACAACCAUGGGGUCCUUGCAGACGAAUCCAUUCACCCGCACUGCAACAGCAGAAGGAAGAAGCAAACUCGGUCGGUAAACAUGCAUCAGGAGAACAAACGCACCGAAGGAAAUUAAUCUGGAUACUAUGAAUACCUUUAGACAUCAUAUCUGCGACACAGAAGUCUUGAAGUUGGCUAGGAUCGGAAGCCAUUGCAAGAGAGGAAGCCAUGGCGAGGAGAACAAGGAGAAACAUUUCGGCGGCCAUCUGUAAUCUCUUAGAUGGAUGGGAUUACCUGGUGCCGUGAUACAGUGGCCUGGAAGAGACGGGUAUAUAUAGAGAAGCAGGCUCUGAAACAUUCAUGAUCAUUAGGUGAAGGAGAUGAAAAGUAUACCAUGUUAGGUUGCUUUCUUCUUGCAAUAUAUUUUCUAUAGCCGUCACCUCGUACGAGAUCCAUAUGAUGCACAGUAACCAUUAAAUUUGUUGACGUGUCUCAGUAACCUAAUCCAUGACCAUUUUAUAUGUAUAUAUAUAAUGAUGGAGCUUUUAGUUAGAUCAUGCUGUAGUGUAAAAUGGACUCUUACGUUCGACUGCAUAAUCCACCACGUGAGAUUUUUGUGACGACCUUACGCUACCAAACAAGAGGAGAAGUCAGCAAAGAUGUGGCAGCUGAACAGAACAAGCUAAGGACAGGUAGAAAGAACAAGAAGCCAAAGAUGUGAUUACCAAUUUGACCUUGUCGGGUCUUGUGUACUGCUACGGCUGAUACCGUGUAUUAUAAUUAAGGUGUUCUACGUCAUCUCCGACUAUUUUCAUCACACUGAGACGUCGCGUGCAUGUUGCAAAGAAGUAUGUAAAUACGUAAGUUCUUAAGAGAUUAUAAGUUGAUAUAAUGCUGUCCAAGAAUAGUAAGCAUGUUGAUAGUUGCCUCUACGUUAAACGCUUAUGGGAUCCUAAGUUAUUAAGAGAUCAUAAGAGAUUUUAAAAAUACUAAAUCUUCGUAUAUAGGUAUACAAGAAUAUUGUACGAUUUAGAUAAAAUCAAUUAUAUUCGUGAUAAAAAUCAAUGAGGUUAGGUGAGAUAAAAUAUUUUUUUUAAUUAAAUAUCUAAAGUAAAAUUAACAUAUCAACAUUACAUUGUUCACAUAAAAUUUAUAAUCAUAUUAUCUAUAAUACGAAAAAAAAAUUAUGUCAAAAUUUAAAAUCAAAUAAUAAUGGAUCUAAAUAAUAUUACGAUGCAUACCUUUCGUUGUUAUUUAGAAGAAUAAAUAUUAUCUGAUCUACAGGCGUAUCAUCGUCGGAUCUAAAUGAAAUACUUCUAUUUAGCCCUUAAGAUCAUAUCUAUUUAUAAACAAAAACAAAGAGUCUAAGAUAAGAUAUUAGAAGAAUUCCUCCCAUAAGGAUAUCCUUGGAAUCCUACUAUAAUAUGAAUUUUUUUUUUAUUAAUCAAUAAUCAUAAUCAGAAUUCAAUCAUAUCUAUAAUAUAUUUUACCUAAUUAAAUAUGACCACACAAUCUAACACUCAAUCAUAAAUCCACGAAUCAUAAAUCCAUAAAAAACCAGAAUUUUUGAACUCAUUUCAACCGAGUUCCCAAAAAGUUUAUUAAGUAAAUAAGAUAUUAUUAUGAAUACAAAACAUUUUAAAGUUUUAUAGAUGAUAAUUCUUUUCUAGAAGGUUCUGCCAGCGAGGAUGAAUAAAAAAAAAAGAAAAAUAUCGAUAUAAUAUUUGUAAUUUAUAUAAAUAUAAACAUUUUUCGUCCAUCCAACUCAGCGACCUCUCUGGCAAUCAGAAAGAUUUCAAUAACGAUCAAACAAAGGCUAAUCGAUUAUUUCAGUCAUCAGAUUUUGGUGGCAACGACAUGUUACCAAACACCAUAAAGAAGCUCUCAAAGUCCGACCACGAGACAAGACAAAGUUGCCAGUACGAAUCCGUCUCCGUUCUUCGACCUCGUUCCAUACUGUAUAUUACGAUCGAAGUGAACUGUGUCAUCUUCAACUAUUUCACCAUCACACUGUUUAUAUAUUAUUAUGGUCUAUUUGUGAUCACAACAUAAGAGUUCAAAUUCAUAAUUAUAUUUCAUUUUAGUAAAUGAAUAAAUUGGAGUGAUUGAUACCGCCGGUUAUAGGUGGAUGCAAUCGAGCCAUAUACUACUACUGAACUUUGUAGAUCCCAUGUCAUACAAGUCAAGACAAAAGCACUCCUUUCGGGAAUUCUUGGUGAUGACUUGUUGAAGUUAUGAUCGUGUAUACAAUAUCUCAUGUUUCAGUCAUAAUAUUUGCAUAAAUUGACUUAUUACCGGUAUAUUUUAGUAAAGUUGUCUGCAUAGAUAUAUAAAGUUCAUGAACCUGAGGGAGGAUAAACAUAAGGUGGAUAAAGAAGUAUGCAUAUAUAUAUAUAAUAUGAGAUAUUACACUUUUUGAGGAUGCUGCACUCCAUAUAAUCUAUAAUCUUCCAGGUGGGAAAUACUAUCAUAUGAUCUAAAUAUUGAAAUAUGACUCAUGGAUUUCUUUCUUAAAAAUCAAGUUUUAUUUAUUAUAUUUAAUGACGUGUUUAUAUGAAAUUUGCAACAGUACACCAAUCGUAUGUCAAUAGAGAUGACUCGAGAAUUCUGAAACAUGACACACUUCAUACGUACUUUUCAUAACAUAGAAAGGUCUCUUAAUUCCAUUACAAUAGCAAACGCAAACAGGUAGUCCACUGUUUGCUUAUUCACACCAAAACACACGAGCUAAGAGUGCAGCUUAAUUCAUUCCUCCGACUAGUUUUUCUUCGCGAACUGAGCCUGAAGCCAGUCGACAAGCUUCUUGUCCACUUGGAAAGCCUUGGCGAGGAUUUCAUCCGAGAUGGGGGGAUUCGCCCCGAACACAGCAUCGGCGAUUGUGAUGGUGCCGGGGUUUUGGCUACUGAGAGCACCGAUGGCGAAGGUGUUGGUGUACCCAGGGUUGAACUGGAAGUGGAUGAGGCCUUGAGGGAACACAAACACAUCACCCUUCUUCAGCAUCUUGGUGAAGAGGCGGUUGUCGGUGUUGGAUGUGACGAAGCCGACUAAGAGCUGUCCCUCUAUGACGGUGAGGAUCUCGGUGGCACGGGGGUGAGUGUGGGGCGGGUUGAGGCCUUUGGGGAUGUAGUCGAUGCGAACCAUGGAGAUGCCGAGGGUGUUGAGUCCUGGAAUCUGCAUCACGUUGGCAGGCGUGACAUUGAACCCGAACUUGUUUCCGGUAUCGCCAGGCAUGUCGAGGCCAGAAAGAGAGAAGUCGUCGGCUUUCACAACCAUGGGGUCCUUGCAGACGAACCCAUUCACCCGCACUGCAACAGCAGAAGGAAGAAGCAAACUCGGUCGGUAAACAUGCAUCAGGAGAACAAACGCACCGAAGGAAAUUAAUCUGGAUACUAUGAAUACCUUUAGAGUCCUUAUCUGCGACACAGAAGUCUUGAAGUUGACUAGGAUCAGAAGCCAUUGCCAGAGAGGAAGCCAUGGCGAGGAGAACAAGGAGAAACAUCUCGGUGGCCAUCUGUAAUCUCUUAGAUGGAUGGGAUUACUUGGGGCCUUGAUACAAUGGCCUGGAAGAGACGGGUAUAUAUAGAGAAGCAGGCUCUGAAACAUUCACGAUCAUUAGGUGAAGGAGAUGAAAAGUAUACCAUGUUAGGUUGCCUUCCUCUCGCGAUAAUAUUGUCUAUAGCCGUCUCCUCGUACGAGCUUCAUCUGAUGCAGGGUAACAAAUAGGUUUUUUGACGCUGUCUCAGUGAUUGCUUGAAUGCAUGCGUUCGCCGACAAAGAAAAAUAGUUCUUUAGUUUAAUGCAUCCAACCUAAUCCAUGACCACAUCGUAUACACAAUAAUGGAGCUUUUCAACCUAAUCCGAAAUCCACCGGGUGAGAUUUUGGUGACGACGUCAAGAUACCAAGCACGAUGAGAAGUUUGCAAACAUGUGGGAGAUCAGGUGAACAAGAGCAAGGUUGUGUCAAAAGAACAAGACAAUAGUGUGUCGUUGCCAAUUUGACUUCGUCUGAUGCCGUGUAUUAUGAUUCAAGGUAUUCUUUGUCAGUACAAAGUAUGUAUGUAUGUAUAGCAUGCACAUCAGUGGUGACACCUUCCUUCCUUAUUGCGAUACCCAAUAUGACUGACUUCAUAUAAUGUUAAUCUUAGUACUUGAGAGAUGAAAAGAAGGGAAAAGAAUAGAAGAGAAUAAUAUCAUAUUCAUAAAAAUUGAGAGAAUGGAAUUACAUAUAUUGGAUUUAGCACACAUCCCAACAAGAUUAACUUUUUGGGUUAAUUAGGUUACCGAUCUAUAUAAUUUUUACCCUGGCUAAGUUAAUUUAUCAUGAUCGAUUUCGACAAAUGAGUCAAAAAGAUUAAAGGAUACAGAUAUUAGUGGUAUUUUUUCACCUAAAUUAUUAGACCAACUUGAUUUAACUUGGAAAAAGACAAAAAAAAAAAGAUUUUGGAAACUGUUAUACUGCCUAAUUUUGAGUCAGUUCAAUCCUCUUGAAUCAGUUUCAAUUCUCUUGAUUGAAUUAUAGGUCAACUCUUUCUCUCUCUCUCUCUCUCAUUUGGGAAAGUGAGAUCAUUUGUAAUCAAGCAAAAUUUCUUGCUCUGAAUAAAUAAAAAAAACUAUAUAUAUCAAUAAAUCUAUACUAUUUUUUUAGUUUUUCAAUUGAACUAAAAUUCACUGUGUGAUUUUGUUAAACCAAAAAUACAUCUCUUAUGAUAGAAAUAGCAUUUGCUUCAUGUAAGGUCUUGAUUUCGUUAUUCUUCAAUUGAUGUGGGAUUUAUAUUUUGUAUCUUGUCUUAAAAUUCAUAUACUUGAUCUAAAAUUUAUGAUUUUAUUAUUAUCAUUAAUUUUCUUUAUCGAAAGAUUAGAGUACACGUUAAACUGCCUAACACGAAAUCAUAUGAUUUUGUGCAUUCAAAGUGGACCCAAAAGACAUCUCAGGAUAGAAAUAACAAUUGUUUGGAACGAAGCAAGAGACAUAUUCUAUCGCAAAAACAAUUGCAAAUAGUUAUCCACUGUUUGCUUAUUUAAAGCACAUAAUUUCAGCACGUCAUGUCAACUUGCAACAACGAAGCUUUCUAGUUGUUGUUGUCCAUCCAGAACUGAGCCUGAAGCCAGUCGAUGGUCUUCUUGUCCACCUGGAAAGCCUUGGCCAGAACAUCGUCAGAGAUGGGUGGCUUCGACCCGAACACAGCGUUAGCGAUGGUGAUCGUGCCGGGGUUUUGGCUACUAAGAGCACCGAUUGCGAUAGUGUUGCAGUUGCCGGGAUUGAACUGGAAGUGGAUGAGGCCCUCAGGGAACACAAACACAUCGCCCUUCUUCAGCAUCUUGGUGAAGAGACGGUUGUCGGUGUUGGAUGUGACGAAGCCGACCAAGAGCUGUCCUUCUAUGACGGUGAGGAUCUCGGUGGCACGGGGGUGAGUGUGGGGAGGGUUGAGGCCUUUGGGCCCGUAGUCGAUGCGAACCAUGGAGAUGCCGAGGGUGUUGAGUCCGAUGAGCUUGUUCACGUUGACGGCAGUGACCAUGGAGCCGAGCUUGUUUACCGUGUUGCCGGCUUUGUCGAGUCCCAUGAAGAAGAAGUCUUCGGCUGUCACGUGCUUGGGGUCUUUGCAGACGAAUCCAUUCACCAGCACU
rnacentral:lncRNA from 1 species